rnacentral:rRNA from 1 species
AUGCACGCUGGCGGCGUGCUUAACACAUGCCAGUCGAACGAAGCACUUUAACCUGAUUCUUCGGAUGAAGGUUUUUGUGACUGAGUGGCGGACGGGUGAGUAACGCGUGGGUAACCUGCCUCAUACAGGGGGAUAACAGUUAGAAAUGACUGCUAAUACCGCAUAAGACCACAGAGCCGCAUGGCUCGGUGGGAAAAACUCCGGUGGUAUGAGAUGGACCCGCGUCUGAUUAGGUAGUUGGUGGGGUAACGGCCUACCAAGCCAACGAUCAGUAGCCGACCUGAGAGGGUGACCGGCCACAUUGGGACUGAGACACGGCCCAAACUCCUACGGGAAGCAGCAGUGGGGAAUAUUACACAAUGGGGGAAACCCUGAUGCAGCGACGCCGCGUGAGCGAAGAAGUAUUUCGGUAUGUAAAGCUCUAUCAGCAGGGAAGAAAAUGACGGUACCUGACUAAGAAGCACCGGCUAAAUACGUG